rnacentral:rRNA from 1 species
CAUGAAGCUGGAUUCGCUGUAAUCGCGCAUCAGCCACGGCGCGGUGAAUACGUUCCCGGGCCCUUGUACACACCGCCCGUCAAGCCAUGGAAGCCGGGAGUGCCUGAAGUGCGUGACCGCAAGGAGCGUCCUAAGGCAAUACCGGUGACUGGGGCUAAGUCGUAACAAGGUACC